rnacentral:rRNA from 1 species
UUUGAUGGCGACCGGCGCACGGGUGAGUAACACGUAUCCAACCUGCCGAUGACUCGGGGAUAGCCUUUCGAAAGAAAGAUUAAUACCCGAUGGCAUAGUUCUUCCGCAUGGUAGAACUAUUAAAGAAUUUCGGUCAUCGAUGGGGAUGCGUUCCAUUAGCUUGUUGGCGGGGUAACGGCCCACCAAGGCAUCGAUGGAUAGGGGUUCCGAGAGGAAGGUCCCCCACAUUGGAACUGAGACACGGUCCAAACUCCUACGGAAGGCAGCAG